rnacentral:lncRNA from 1 species
CGCAUUGCAGCCACAAGAGACUCCUAGACUAGCUACUUUCAGCUAAAUGUACUCUCAUAUUAAUAUUUUAAAAUGCCAUAAUGCCUCUCUGAAAACCUCAGAGGACAGAUACAUCAAUUUGCGAGGUCUUCACUCCAGGAAAUAGAAACAGGGAUAAUCUGCCAUUAAAAGAAAUAGUUCAUUAUGUCUGCUUCUUGGGAGC